UGUUCGUGAAACUUUUUAGAUUUAUUUCAAGGAUUUAUAUUUUUAUUGCGAAAUAUAAGAUGUAUAUUUGCUCCAACUAGAUAUAAAACUAUAAUUGAAAAUUCAUUAUAUUCAGCAUAGAAAUCAUUCGCUACUGCUGUUCUCUGUAGAAAAGCUGUCCGAUGAUGAGACUGCAAACCAAAAUUUGGACAAAAUAUUAAUUUAUUGUGGGACGGAGUUCCAAAUAUAAUAUAAACAUUAAGCAGGAGUGUUUUCCUGUUUAUUUUUCGGUCCGCUUCGUGAAAAAUAUUGGACACAUGUUUUUUUAUCAAAUCACUGAGAGAAAAAUAACACUGCAAAAGUAUGCUAAUUCAAAUCGGAAAAUAUGGCAACCCCACUUCCUCCCUCCUCCCCCCAUCUUCGGUGUUACCACCGCGCGGUUCAUCAGUGUUGCCAGAUAUUGCUGGGGCUCGGUCUGCUAGCGGGUUUCUCGUCACUGGCAGCGGCGGCAAUACUGCAUGACAGCCUCAGUGUUGCCACAGUUGCGACGCUGGCGUUCGCAGGGGCGCUCAGUGCCUGCGUGUGUGGGGCUCUGCUGGGGAUAUUCUG
rnacentral:lncRNA from 1 species